UAUCAGUCAUGCAUAGCAUAUCAAUAAGCGGAGGAAAAGAAACUAACAAGGAUUCCCUUAGUAACGGCGAGUGAAGCGGGAAGAGCUCAAAUUUGAAAUCCUCAAGGUUUUACCUUGACGAAUUGUAGUUUAAAGAAGUGUUUUCUGUUGAAGUUUUGGUAAAAGUUCUUUGGAAUAGGACAUCAUAGAGGGUGAGAAUCCCGUAUUUGACCAUUACUUUCAGCUUUGUGAUACACUUUCAAAGAGUCGGAUUGUUUGGGAAUGCAGUCCAAAAUGGGUGGUAAAUUUCAUCUAAAGCUAAAUAUUGGCGAGAGACCGAUAGCGAACAAGUACCGUGAGGGAAAGAUGAAAAGAACUUUGAAAAGAGAGUUAAACAGUACGUGAAAUUGUCAAAAGGGAAGCGUUUGACACCAGUGUUGUUUUCUCGAAAAUCAAUUAAAAAGAGUUGGAUUUUGUGUUGUAUUGACUUUAUCAGCUUUCUUCACUCUUUUCCAGCUUUUUUUAAUGCACUUUUCGUUUAACAAGUCAACAUCAGUUUCUUUUGUUGUAAAAAGGUCAUUGGAAGGUGGCUUUCUCUUCGGAGAAAGUGUUUAUAGCCUUUGACUCAUGCAAUCGGAGAGACUGAGGUCUGCAGCGUAGAUCCUUCGGGGUUAGAUACAUUUGUGCUAAGUUAUAGCUUUUCAUAGACAACUUGUUGACUAUGUUUAGUCUUGUAGCUUACUCGCUUAUGCUAUUUUACCUACGCUUAGGAUGUUGAACUCUAUCACACACAG
rnacentral:rRNA from 1 species